CCCAGAGCAACUUGGAGCCUGGCCUCUUGUCCCGAGGCCGGCCAUCCCCAGGAGAGGGUCCUCGCCCGCUGUCGGGCCAGGCACACGGAAAGAGAAGAGCAUUUCCCGGGCUUAGAGAAGCGAGCCGGUGCCGAGAAAACGGGGACGCAGGCAGCGCGCUGACUUCCAGUCCCCCGGACGGCGUCACUGCGGCGCUUGGAGAGCAAGUGGUAAAGGGCACGUCUCUCCGCUUAACUUCCCGCCGAGGGCCCGGGCUGCUAAAUGAGGGAUGUAAAAAGUGAGCCAGGUCCCUGCCCCAAUAGCUGUGCAGUCUCCCCGGUAGGAAGCAAGGCUUUCAUCUGUUUAACAUUCAAGACAUUUACAGGAAGUAAAUGUGUGAGAGCCACUGGGCUAGGUUGGGACGGGACCCUGCUCUCCGCCCGAUUAGGGAGACAAGGGAUGCAUGAAACACUUCUGAGAGCCGGGGCUCAGAAGUUACAAAGUAGGAAACGGCCCCUUGGACGCAGAAGUCGGGAGAGGAGAGGAAACCACCACAAAGAGCCAUGAUGCAAUGCUGGAUGCCGCGAGAGAGAGAGAGAGAGAGACCACUUUCUGAAAGAAUUCGGGAAAAGAGCUCGCUGCUUUUGUAAAGGAGAGGCCAUUUGGCUGGGACUCGAAAGAUGGGAAGCAUUUGAAUGGGGGGAAAGGGGAGAAAGGCAUAUGCAUAGGGAAAGAACUGCUAGCAUGGUUCUCUGAGAAGGAAAAGGAGCCAAUCCAGUGGAGAAGUGGAGAGGAAAGAAAACAUGAUUGAAACAAAAAGAUUUUUUUUAAAAUAUGUGAACAAGUGCCAAAGGAGUGAAAUAAACUCUUACAUGCUAUAGGAAUUCAGGGGAGGGGUCAAUCAUGGGGAGCUAUUAUAAUCCAAGAAAGCUUUAUGAAGAAAGGCUUCAUGACCUGGACUUGAAGACUGGGCCUGCUUUAAAUGGACAUCAAAGCUUUUUUUUUGUUUUGGGGUGGGUUUUAAAUUGCUUUUUGUUUUCAUAACACAUGCGGGGAUAAUUUUUCACCAUUGACCUUCGCGAAACUUUGUGUUCCAAUCUUCCCCCUUACUCCCCCCCCCAAUCCCUUCCCCUACAUAGGCAUCAAGUAUUUCUGGAAAUAGGCCCCCCAGGCUUCCUUGCAAGUUGGCCCCAAAUCGAACAGAUUGUGCAUGCUGGAAGGACUAGCUGGGCCUCUGCUGCCUAUCCCCUUUUAUGUAUGAUAUGGGAAUGUCUAUAGUGGGAGAGUUGGGGGGGGGGGAGGAGUUAUUCCAUUCUGACUCACUUCUAGAAUGAGACCAGCUAACAUCAUCCCCUUCAGAGGUCUAGGGGUUUCCCAAAGGGUUUGAAGAUAGUUCUGUCAUUAACUCAAACUUCCACCAGUUGUGCUGGCAAUACCAUUAGGUAUCGGUGAUCAACAAGCUCCCCAGUUCCAUUUAACCACUUAAUUAGGGAUAUCUCCUUCGAUGGUACUAUGGCAAAGAUACAAAUUCCCCCUUCCCUUGAAGGAUGGGGGAAUAGUCUUUAUCCCGCCUCCAUUGCUACAUAGCAUUCGUCCCCCUAAAUUUACAUCAGAUGAGUCUUCCUCUCAGAUACCCCUAAGCUGAAUCAGGGCAUCAGGGCUGAACUGGCUGCAAAAACCAACAAAGUCAGAGCCUUUAGGAAAACAGAGGUCAAGAGCCAAGACCCAUUUCAAAGGAUCACAAAAGGGCCCAAGACUUCUCCCCUUGCUAUAUGGUUUCUCACUAUUAGCAAAAGAUCCCAAGACUUCUACCAGAGAACAAAUGGCCAACCUCCUGCUUACUGGUCCUCCUAGGAGGCUCCUACUGUUCAUCAAAGAGCCUCCUGUUCACCAAGAGACGGGCAGAUUGAAACCAGUUACAGAGUGUCUCUGGACAGGCUCCGUCCCUCCCAGACAUCUCUCUUACUGGAAGCUCCCUAGCUGCCUCCAGGUGGAGGGGCCAUCCUCAGGUGCUUUCCACAUGUGCUAAUCCUCCUACAAGCAUGUAGGCAUUUAUCUAUGAACAUCACUAAACAAUACGAGAGGGCAUUGCUAAAUGGUUAAUGAAAUAUGUAAUCGGUGCUACGGAAAUUCAGAGGAGAGACAAGUCCAGGUGGGCCUCAGGGUUAGGAGUCAGGAAGACCUUAGAGAGGAAAUAGGCUUGAAGCCAGUCCUGGAAGGAAUAUGCUCAGUGCUCAAAACAGAGCAGUUGGCGUCCAAGACCAGAGCAGAAUCACUUUCUAACAGGAGGAUUUUGUGCAACUUGCAGCUGAGCCUCAGUUGAAGGGGCAGCGAUACUGCCGGGACCCUGAGUUGAGAAUUGAACAAAGGACAGCCACCAUACGCAAGGCUUCAGUUAAAGUCAACCAGGAACAUCAAAGAAGAGGAACAAAAGAUGUCAUUAAAGAAACACAGGCUAGGAGGGGAAAAAAUGGUGUCAUCAAAAGCAAGAUGACAGCUCCUGGUCCCUAACAAAUGAAAGGAACACAGACAAUGGGAGCGGAGAAAAAAGCAUCCUGGUCUCUUCAGAGUAACCUGGAAGCAGGAGGUACAACGCGCAGCUUGGCCCUGGAAGGGUGAAGCUAGAAAGUGCCUUCUACACUGUACAUGGCGAUGUAGAACUGUGGGAAAAGGCCGGUGAGAUCAUAGAUGAUGUCUUCUCUCGCAAGUGCAUUGGAUUUAAGAGAGGCCCCCUUCUCUCCAUCAGAGCCUAGGGCAGGCUGGCUGGUCAUGGCCCAGAAUGUUGUGGGGGCCCUUGGAGGCUUCUACGCCUGACCGAGCUCUAAGAACCCCACACUGCUUUAUUUGAGACAAAUUCUCAUCUCCCCAUUCCACCAGGGAAAGGCUUUGCAUGCUGGAGGUGGAGGUCCCCCACCCCCCCCAGUUCAUCAAAGGUCUGAGACCUGUCAGUCACCCUCUGCCCCGUUUAGCCUAUCUAUGUGUGUGUGUGUGUGUGUGUGUGUGUGUGUGUGUGACUGACACCUCUAGGGCUCAUGAGGGCCUUUCAUUCAUCUGUGAUGUCCACCUGACCUAUUCUACCCUCCUUCAUGGCUCCAAAAAUCUGCAGCAUGCAAUGGCCGGCUUCAAUAUCCUCAUCUGCAAAAUGGGAACAAGAACAGCACCUCCCUCCCUGCAUUACUGCGAAGACCAAAUGAAACAUAUGUCAAACACCUAAAUGUUACAGCAUGUGAGCACUGGCUGCCUUGUGGUUUGGACACCUUUUGACCAAACAAUAUCAGUCCCGGGGCUGCACCCCCAGAGAGAGCAAAGAACGAGCAAGUGGACUCAUAUGUUCAAAAAUACUAUUAGCAGCCCUUUUUGCGGUGGCAAAGAAUUGGAAACUGAGGGAAAGCCUAUCAAUUGUUCUGUAGUGUACUGUGUGAAGUAAGGAAGGGGAUGGUUUCUGAAAAACCCGGCAAGACACAUAUAAACUGAUGCAAAGUGAAGUGAGCAAACCAGGAAGACAACUUGUAUGAUCACCAACAAUUUAGGAACACCUAAUUAUCUAAAGGACUCGAGGUGAUUCCUGCUGUUCCCCUCCUGGAAGAAAAAAAGGACUUACGUGAACGGAAGAGAAAAUAGGCGUGAUCGUAUGAAGCACCAGAAAGCGGGAAACAUGACCAGGGCCCAUAUUUGGCUCCGGCCCUGACCAGGUAAGCACACCUGGAUGGCUUUCCGCAGACUGUGGACAUCCCUCACUGACAGCGUUUGACCACACGCUGCUCUCUGCUGGCCGAUAGAAGUCACUAAGCCUCUCCUUUCCUGGGGAGAGCUAAAGCCUUUGUUGCUGAUUUGUUGCGUCCCUUAAGCUGUGCCUGAUCUCCCUAAAUCCACUUGGGGUUUUUUUUUUAAGUUUUUUUCUCAAUUACAUUUAUUUUAUUUUCCCAGUUUUUUCUUCCUCCCUCCCUCCCUCCCCUGUCCCCAAGGCAGCAGCAAGCAAUCCCAUGUAGGUUAAAUAUGUGCUAUCUUUUUGAUCACAUUUCCACGUUUAUCAUGUUGUACAAGAACAAUCAGAUCAAAAGAAAAAACAUAAUAAAGA